GAUGAACGCUGGCGGCGUGCCUAAUACAUGCAAGUCGAGCGAACGGACGAGAAGCUUGCUUCUCUGAUGUUAGCGGCGGACGGGUGAGUAACACGUGGAUAACCUACCUAUAAGACUGGGAUAACUUCGGGAAACCGGAGCUAAUACCGGAUAAUAUUUUGAACCGCAUGGUUCAAAAAUGAAAGACGGUCUUGCUGUCACUUAUAGAUGGAUCCGCGCUGCAUUAGCUAGUUGGUAAGGUAACGGCUUACCAAGGCAACGAUGCAUAGCCGACCUGAGAGGGGAAUCGCCCAACCGGAAACUGAAACAGGGCCCAGACCCCUAGGGGAGGAGGAGGGAGGGAAUUUUCCGAAAUGGGGGAAGGCCUGAGGGACCAACGCGGGGGGGUUGAAAAGGGUUUUCGGAUCGAAAAACUCUUUUUUUGGGAAAAAACAUUUGUGAAAGUAACGUUGAACAUUUUGACGGUACCAAAAAAAAAAGCCACGGCUAACAACGU
rnacentral:rRNA from 1 species